ACCGUCCAGUUUGUUUGAUUGGGGCGCGGUUGAUGGCUUCUAACUGAAACGGUGCCUUUCAAAAUCGGAUUUCUCUCAUGCAUUCUCUCGUCGCAGAUCUAACUACCCGACUCUCAAUUCCUCUCGCUUCGAAUCCGAAAAUCCAUCACAAAUCUGCUAUUCAACUCCAUCAUCAUCAUCGUUAGAUCACAGCCGUAGAUCGGAGUGGAGCCCAAACAUGGUUCUAGUAUCGGCCGUACGCGAUUACAUCAACCGGAUGUUGCAGGACAUCUCGGGCAUGAAGGUUCUCAUCCUCGAUUCUCACACGGUUAGUGUAGUUAGUGUCGGGUAUUCACAGUCGGAACUUCUUCAGAAAGAAGUAUUCUUGGUAGAAUUGGUAGAUUCCAUAUCCAAGUCAAAAGAAUCUAUGUCACAUCUUAAGGCAGUUUACUUCCUUCGGCCCACGUCAGAGAAUAUCCAGCAUUUGCGGCGACAGCUAGCUAGUCCUAGAUUUGGAGAGUACCACCUAUUUUUCUCAAAUAUAUUGAAGGAUACUCAGAUUCAUAAUUUAGCUGAUUCAGAUGAACAGGAAGUUGUCCGGCAGAUUCAGGAAUUUUAUGCAGACUUUGUAGCAAUUGAUCCAUACCAUUUCACUUUGAAUAUGCCGUCAAAUCACAUUUAUAUGCUCCCGGCAGUUGUAGAUACUUCAAAUUUGCCGCACUUCUGUGACCGAGUUGUUGAUGGUAUUGCAUCCAUUUUUUUGUCCUUAAAAAGAAGACCUAUUAUUAGAUAUCAAAGGACUUCAGAUAUUGCUAAGAGGAUAGCACAGGAAACGGCUAGGCUGAUGUACCAACAGGAGAGUGGGCUUUUUGAUUUCAGACGAAUGGAAGUUUCCCCAUUGUUGCUGGUAAUUGAUAGGAGGGAUGAUCCUGUGGCCCCAUUGCUAAACCAGUGGACCUAUCAGGCAAUGGUUCAUGAAUUGAUAGGUAUUCAAGACAACAAGGUCGAUUUGAGAAACAUUGGCAAACUUCCAAAGGAUCAACAGGAGAUUGUGUUGUCAUCAGAGCAAGAUGCCUUUUUCAAAGCUAACAUGUAUGAGAAUUUUGGAGAUAUUGGGAUGAAUAUCAAGCGAUUGGUAGAUGAAUUUCAGCACAUUUCAAAGAGUAACCAGAGUAUUCAGACAAUAGAAGACAUGGCCAAAUUUGUUGACAAUUACCCUGAGUACAGAAAAAUGCAUGGAAAUGUUUCAAAGCAUGUGACAUUGGUCACAGAAAUGAGCAAGAUAGUUGAAGAGAGAAAACUCAUGUUAGUUUCACAAACAGAGCAGGAGUUGGCUUGUAAUGGUGGUCAAGUGGCAGCAUUUGAGGCAGUGACAAAUCUUUUAAACAAUGAAAGUGUAUCUGAUAUUGACCGUUUACGCUUAGUGAUGCUUUAUGCUUUGCGCUACGAGAAGGAAAGCCCUGUUCAAUUGAUGCAGCUUUUCAACAAACUGGCUUCUCGAUCUGCCAAGUACAAACCAGGGCUUGUCCAGUUCGUCUUGAAGCAAGCAGGUGUUGAUAAGCGAACUGGGGAUCUUUUUGGAAAUCGAGAUCUUUUGAAUAUUGCUCGUAAUAUGGCUCGUGGACUGAAGGGGGUUGAGAAUGUUUACACCCAGCACCAACCACUUUUGUUCCAAACCAUGGAAAGCAUUUCCAAGGGACGGUUGAGAGAUGUGGACUACCCAUAUAUUGGCAAUCACUUUCAGCAGGGCAGGAACUCUAUACCAAUCCAAAUAUGGCCUAAAACCAGAUUUUCUGAAAAACUGGGCUUAACUGAAUAUCCUGUGGUCAGACUGCAAAAACUGGCCACAGGAAGUAGUCAUAUUCAUUGUUGGAGGGACGACAUAUGAAGAGUCACGUUCUGUUGCUCUACAAAAUGCCAGCAAUUCUGGAAUUCGUUUUAUACUUGGUGGUUCUGUGGUUCUGAAUUCUAAGAGGUUUCUGAAGGACUUGGAAGAAGCUCAAAGGAUGGCUCGUUCUAGCACAGUAGUGGUUUGAAGCCCAUCAUAUGUGUCUUCAGAGUCAUUUAGAUAAUUUUUUGUGGCUUUACAUGGAGCUUUUUGACCGGUGACUUGCAGUGGUGAGAUUGUUAAUGAAUAUUGGGAGGAGGAACUUGAUGAGGGGUCAUCAGAAUCAACCCACCUUUACUGCAUUAGACAUCCAAUAUUCACCAAUUUUCAAAGGAAUAAAAGGUAAAUAGGUUUUGAGAGGCUAAAUCCAUUACGUAAUAUGAGAUAUUACUGAUUUACGAGAAAUAAUUUGCAGAUAGCCAUAUCACUUGUUUAACAACACCACCUUGCAUUGUUAAAGAUGUAAAAUCACAUACAUAUUUUUUUCUUUUUCUAUUUUUGGUUGUAUACAUGUUUGAUGUAUCCUGGGUAGUUGUGUAAUUGGACAAAUAUUAUGAAAAGUUACAGCUGAGCUAUAUUAUAGUUGAGCCAGGGCCACGGGUUUUGUUUAUACUUUAGCAAAUCAAUGAUCUGGUGACAUGGGAAGUUUUUGAAUAUUUCUGUGUAUAUAACAGGUAUUGAAACUUUUGCUGUGCUGGUUAUUACAUAUAUUUUGAUCAGGAUUUUUUUUUUUU